rnacentral:tRNA from 1 species
GAGGGUAUAGCUCAGUGGUAGAGCACAUGCUUAGCAUGCAUGAGGUGCUGGGUUCAUCCCCACGACCUCCA